UACGUAGGGUGCAAGCGUUAAUCGGAAUUACUGGGCGUAAAGCGCACGUAGGCGGCAUUGCAAGUCGGAUGUGAAAUCCCUCGGCUUAACCAAGGAAGUGCAUCCGAAACUGCAGUGCUUGAGUACUUAAGAGGAUCGCGGAAUUCCCGGUGUAGAGGUGAAAUUCGUAGAUAUCGGGAGGAACACCAGUGGCGAAGGCGGCGAUCUGGGAAGAUACUGACGCUGAGGUGCGAAAGCGUGGGGAGCAAACAGG
rnacentral:rRNA from 1 species